rnacentral:RNase_P_RNA from 1 species
AUAGCAGGCUGGACGGUCGUCGGCUGCUGCAAGGCAGCGGGAGGAAAGUCCGGGCUCCACAGGACAGAAUGGUCGAUAACGUCGACCGGCCGCAAGGCUCGGGAAAGUGCAACAGAAAGCAAACCGCCGCGGUGGGGUUUUUCUGCGUCCCUUCUUUUCGGAGAAGGCGCAUGCAGCACGAGCCCCCGUCACAACCUCCGCGGUAAGGGUGAAACGGUGCGGUAAGAGCGCACCAGCAGACAGGGCGACCUGCCUGGCUUGGCAAACCCCAUUCGGAGCAAGGCCAAACAGAGAGUACGUGCGGGCCUGAGUCGGCAACGAUUCAAGCCGCGGCGCGCGGGCCGGUCCGGCCUGGCCAAUUCUCGGGUAGGCUGCUUGAGGCGGCGAGCAAUCGCCGUCCUAGAUAAAUGACCGUCGGUGGCGUGAAGCCCUCGGGAACACGCCGCGACAGAACCCGGCUUAUAAGCCUGCUAUCGAG